CACGGCGCACGGGUGCGUAACACGUGGGCAAUCUGCCCUCGGAUGGGGGAUAACCCCGCGAAAGCGGGGCUAAUACCGCAUGACAUUCCGAAGACUCCGGUCUUUGGACUCAAAGGCCGCAAGGCCGUCUGAGGAGGAGCCCGCGCCCGAUUAGCUAGUUGGUGAGGUAACGGCUCACCAAGGCUUUGAUCGGUAGCCGGUCUGAGAGGAUGGCCGGCCACACUGGAACUGAGACACGGUCCAGACUCCUACGGGAGGCAGCAGUGGGGAAUAUUGCGCAAUGGGCGAAAGCCUGACGCAGCGACGCCGCGUGGGGGAUGAAGCUUCUCGGAGUGUAAACCUCUUUCGACCCGGACGAAUGACCCGCAAGGGUUUGACGGUACGGGUAUAAGAAGCCCCGGCUAACUACGUGCCAGCAGCCGCGGUAAUACGUAGGGGGCCAGCGUUGCUCGGAAUUACUGGGCGUAAAGGGUUCGUAGGUGGUGCGGCAAGUUGGGAGUGAAAUCUCUGGGCUUAACUCAGAGGCUGCUUUCAAAACUGCCGUGCUCGAGUGCGAGAGAGGCCAGUGGAAUUGCAGGUGUAGCGGUGAAAUGCGUAGAUAUCUGCAGGAACACCCGUGGCGAAGGCGGCUGGCUGGAUCGCAACUGACACUGAGGAACGAAAGCUAGGGGAGCAAACAGGAUUAGAUACCCUGGUAGUCCUAGCCCUAAACCAUCAGGACUUGGGGUGGCUCGCGUAGGCGAGUCGUCCCGUAGCUAACGCGUUAAGUCCUGCGCCUGGGGAGUACGGUCGCAAGACUGAAACUCAAAGGAAUUGACGGGGGCCCGCACAAGCGGUGGAACAUGUGGUUCAAUUCGA
rnacentral:rRNA from 1 species